UAAUUCCGUGCCAGCAGCCGCGGUAAUACGGAAGGUGCAAGCGUUAAUCGGAAUUACUGGGCGUAAAGCGCGCGUAGGUGGUUUGUUAAGUUGGAUGUGAAAGCCCUGGGCUCAACCUAGGAACUGCAUCCAAAACUAACUCACUAGAGUACGAUAGAGGGAGGUAGAAUUCAUAGUGUAGCGGUGGAAUGCGUAGAUAUUAUGAAGAAUACCAGUGGCGAAGGCGGCCUCCUGGAUCUGUACUGACACUAAGGUGCGAAAGCGUGGGUAGCGAACAGGAUUAGAUACCCUGGUAGUCCACGCCGUAAACGAUGACAACUAGCUGUUGGGAGACAAUGUCUUUCAGUGGCGCAGCUAACGUUUUAAGUUGUCCGCCUGGGGAGUACGGCCGCAAGGCUAAAACUCAAAUGAAUUGACGGGGACCCGCACAAGCGGUGGAGCAUGUGGUUUAAUUCGAUGCAACGCGAAAAACCUUACCUACUCUUGACAUACUUGGAAGCUCUUGUAAUGAGAGUGUGCCUUUUGGAGCCAAGAUACAGGUGCUGCAUGGCUGUCGUCAGCUCGUGUCGUGAGAUGUUCCGUUAAGUCGGAUAACGAGCGCAACCCUUACCCUUAUUUGCCAGCGAUUCGGUCGGGAACUAUAAGGGGACUGCCGGUGAUAAACCGGAGGAAGGUGAGGACGACGUCAAGUCAUCAUGGCCCUUACGAGUAGGGCUACACACGUGCUACAAUGGGAAAUACAGACGGACGCUAAGCCGCGAGGUGGUGCUAAUCCUAGAAAGUUUCUCGUAGUCCGGGAUUGGAGUCUGCAACUCGACUCCAUGAAGUCGGAAUCGCUAGUAAUCGCGAAUCAGCAUGUCGCGGUGAAUACGUUCUCGGGUCUUGUACACACCGCCCGUCACACCAUGGAAGUGGAUUGCACCAGAAGUAGAUAGUCUAACCUUCG
rnacentral:rRNA from 1 species